CCCUUAGAUGUUCUGGGCCGCACACGCGCUACACUGAAGGAGGCAGCGUGUACUCCUGGAUCGAAAGAUUUGGGUAACCCGCGAAUCUCCUUCGUGCUAGGGAUUGAGGUUUGCAAUUAUCCUUCAUGAACGAGGAAUUCCCAGUAAGUGCGAGUCAUUAUCUCGCGCUGACUACGUCCCUGCCCUUUGUACACACCGCCCGUCGCUACUACCGAUUGAAUGAUUUAGUGAGGACUUCGGACUGAGUCCAAUGCGGCUUUCGGGCUGCGUUGGUAUUUCGGAAAGAUGUCCAAACUGUAUCAUUUAGAGGAAGUAAAANUCGUANCA
rnacentral:rRNA from 1 species